rnacentral:lncRNA from 1 species
AAUGUAUGUCAGUAUUUCUGUGGAAAUCUCACUUUUUACGGGACGUCUUUGCAGGGAUGGGACAGAACCUCAUAUCCCAGCAUGCACACGCGAGCAGAGGCUUAGACGCGAAGGCGCUUCCCUGAGCUGCGGCCGUGCGGGCGGUUCUCGCGGCGGGCCGGGCGAGCGCGCGCUGCCGCCGCUACUGCGUUCGCCACGUUCCCCGCUCGCGCUAAUUGCUACAUCACGCACGGCGCUCGCGCUCACAUUCACCGCGCCAACGCCGAGCGAUGAGCUCACAGGGCGGAGAUUCGGCGGAGCAGCACCGGCGGCAGCAGUUGCUGCGUUUAAUUUAUUUGCAUUUGAAGGAGAAUGGCUACGAGAAAGCUGCCAAGGUGCUUAAAAAGCACAUUUGUCAGAAAGAAACGGAAGCGAGCGUGACACUUUAUGAAAUAUACACCGGUUGGAUAAAAACUUCAGAUGGUUUUGGAGAUACGAAGCAGGAGCCUGGACUGAACAGGGAGAGCCCCCCGAAGAAGUCGCACCUGUCGGACUAUGCCGCCGGGGUCGAGGGAGACGAAGUCAAACCCGAAAAAGGUCACAUCAUUGAGAAGACAGAAGAACCUGAAUUUAAGCCCAUCAUUGAUGAUGGAUCUGUGUCCCCCUGUAACAAACCUUUCAUUCCCUCUGUGGUAAAAAAGUCUUCCAAAAGCACAGAAGGUCACUCAGACUGCAAAGAUGACCCUGAUGGAGACCAGCUGCAGACACCCCCUGGCCAUGCCAGUAGUGUGCCUCCUUUAGUGGAAUUAAGCAAACCCACCAUCCCUCAGGAGGAAACAGUUCCCUUGACACAGGACAUGGGAGUAAAAGUUAUAAGCUCAGACAGUGAAAGUCCUGAAGAUUCAGAAGAAGAGGAGCAGAGGCCACAACAGCAGGCUGAAGGUACUACACCAAAACCCACAGCUAUGAAGACUUCAAGUGUAGCAGGGGCCAGUGAGUCUAAGAGUUCAGCUGACAGUAAUGAUUCUCAGAGAGAAGAAGAAGCACCUGUCCAGAAACCUGGGAAAACACCAGUACGUAAAUCCUCCAAACAAAUUCCAACAAAGGGAGCCACUGCAGCCCCACUAAAGUCUAGCCAGGACACCACCAGCCAAGCUUUAGCUACACCCAAGAUCUCUGCUGCCCAGAACAAGGCUGAGUGCUCUGGGAGUGAGAGCAAUGAUAACUCAGUCAGUGACCAGGAAGUGACACAAGACCAGAAAGCUGUAUCGGACAGUCCAAAUAACACCGCUACAGAGACGACCCCUGCACCAGUUAAACCCAGUUCCACCCUUGACCUAACUGCAGCCCCUUUGAAAAGAGAAGAGAGCUCAGACGGUGAUAAUGAGUCAGAAAGUGAAGAGGCAAUUCCACCAACCCAGGCCACGUCCACAAAGCCCACAGUAAACCCACCUUCAUCCACUCCAGCAGUGGUCAGCAGUUGUCAGAGUUCAGACAGUGAGGAGGACGUGUCUGUCCAGAAAGCAGUCAAAACCCCAAAAGUUAUACCUGCAGCCCCAGAAAGGCCCAGGCAGUCUGUACACAGCAAAGCUAAAGAUGCCCCUGAGGUUCCUGCUGCAGAGAAGAAAGCAGAGAGCUCAGAGAGUGAGAGUGGUGAUGACUUGGAGAGUGAAGAAGAAGCUGUUAAAGAGAGCGCUAAACCUGUGCCUGACACACCACACAAGGCAACUACAGUGAUUGUCACCCCUGGUCUCACCAAAGUCCCUUCAAAAACAGAAGAGACCUCAGAGAAUGAUGACCAAUCCGAACGUGAAGAAAUUCCACCAACACAGAAAGAAGUGACAACCUCAACAUUGACAACUACCCAGAAGACUCCAAAGAAUGGAGCUUCCGCAGCUCCACUGAAGCCCAGCCAGCACAAAUCAGCCCAGGCUAAAAAGUCACCCAAGGGUCUUGCUGUAGAGAAGUCCGAGAGCUCUGAGAGCAGCAAUGAUUCAGCGAGUGAAGAGAAAACCAAAAUCCCAAAAGGGACACCUGCCAAGAUUUCACCCACGAGGGCAUCUAAAACUCCAGUGAAGCUCAGCCAUCCCACACCUAUCCAGGCUAAAGGUGCAAAGAAGGCUGACAGCCCAGAGAGCAGUGAUGACUCAGAGAGUGAAGAGGUAGCAACACCACCACAACAGAAAGCUGGUGUGACACCGAAAGCUAAACUUGUGUCUGGCCCUGCAAAGACAACUGCACUGAAAGGUUCAACACCAGGUAAACCUAGUUAUACCUUGGCUCCCACCACAGCCUCCUCAAAACCAGAAGAGAGCUCAGAGAGCGAUGAUGAAUCAGAAAGUGAAGAGGAGAUUCCCCCAACACAGGUAAUGUCCACUGAGCCCACAGCAAGCACACAUUUAGCCACCCCAGCAAUGGUCAACAGGGGUCAGAGUUCAGACAGGGACAGUGAGGAAUCUGAGAGCGAGGACAACGCACCUGACCAGAAACCAGAGCUGACCAUCAAGCCAAAAGUAUGUAAGGUUAUUCCAGCAAAGUCAUUGAGUGCGGUGACCCCAGUCAGAGCCAAGACCGCACCCACCACCACCUCAAAAACAACCAUGAAGACCUCAGUAUCUGUCAGACGAAAAAAGAGUACAAGCACAGACAGUGAGGACGAGAUUCCAAGAAAGUCAGCCCCAGCUAAACGGGCUUCCAUGGUGUCAGUCAAGCCUGGACAUCCCAUUCCAAGCCAGGUUAAAGCAGCACCCAAGGCCCCUUCUAAAGAGGGAAAGGCCAAGGAGGCUAGCAGUGAUGAUUCGGAGAGUGGUGAAGACCCUUCAGCGAAGAUUGCUGUGGCAGCUUCCGACAUUUUGCCCAAGAUGAAAUGCAAAUCCACAACCCAGACUGUACAGAAGACUCCGAACGCUUCAAAAAAAGUGGCCGGUGGCAGUGAGGACCUGUCCGAAAAGGACGCAUCUCUUGAAAACUCGGCUUUGAAGACUCCCAAAGCUAAACUACGUGCCGUCGCUCCAGAACUUUCAUCUGACAUCAAGAGCAGUACAACCAAGGGCACUGAGGAUGGUGCUUCCAUACUCGUUCAGGAAGUCUCAGCAAUAAUGGAUUCUGAACCUGACAUAUUAGGGACAGCAUCUUCUGAUGCAGCUCCCAAAAACUCAAAGGACGGUGAUGUCAUUGCAGAGGAGCUCUCCCAGACUUCUCUGGACCCAAAAGAAUCUAUGAAGAAAGCCACUGAAAGAAGGAAAAGGAGGAGGAAGAAGAAGAAGAAAAAAAAGAAAGCCUCUGUCCAAUUUGAGGAUGAGAACAUUUCCCCCACAGGCCCUGGUCAGGAGCUGAUUUUACCCAGUGGAGGAUCUGCCAUCAGUUUGGACCAGUUAAUAACAAUGCCAUGCAAAGCUUCUGAAGAGCCAGAAUCAUCUGAGACUGGUGUUAGUCUUAAGAAGGUUGGAUCAAAGAGCUCAAAGUCACUAGUAUCAGGAGUGAAUAGUGAGGGAGAGCCUGAAGUGAAAACCAUAGCAACAGAAGCUAUGCCUCAGGCAAAAAAGAGGAGGAGCACAGACAAAGGAGAUAUGGAACCGAAGAGUAAGAAGAAGAAGAAGAAGAAGAAAGGUGCAGACACAGAAGCAAACCCCACAGAGCUGGGGAACAACCCUCAUUCCGAGAACAAGCUUAAUUUGGAAGAGUCAGAAAAAGAGGCACUGACUCCCUCAGAUGAUGCAACUGCAAAGAUGGGCUCUGAUGACUCUAUGGAGUCCAACUCCACCACCCUCAUUUUGUCUGCAAAGGCCUUAAAGAAGAUUAAGAAAAUGAAGAAGAAAGAGAAGGUAAAAGUUAAGAAUACAGGGAGUAAAAAGAUUAAAGCCCACAAGACUAUGAGUGUCUUUACCUCUGUGGCUGAGCAGCUGCUGGCCAUUACCAAAAAAAAAGAAUUAAAGAAAGCUACUGCUGUGAAGAAGCCGCUAUUGGUGCUUGAUCCGCAAAAAAGGAAGAAAUUUGACAAAGACGGUACUAUAAGAUCAGAGCCAGAAUCUGAAAUUCCUGCUUUUAAGAAAAGAAAAAAGAAAAACAAAAGCAACAGGGAGGAGAAGACACCUUCAAAGAAGAAGCAAACUCAGGACACAGAAGACCAUGAGCUGCAAAUCCAAGGUCUGGCGGAGAGUACGCUUGUGAAGAAGAAAAAAAAGAAAAAGAAAAACAGAUGGAAAGACAGAGGAAAACUGAUCAAGACACCUUUCAAGGGGCCACAGGGGCUUCAUCUGGACACACCUCCACCUUUAGGGACUAGUCCAGAACCUUCUAAAGCCGCCUUGGGAAAAGUGAGAAAAAAGUAAAGAAAAAUUUUGUUUCAAAUGUAUUAUCACGUGUUUUACAUCAUUUUGUAAUGCUGUAAAAAGAAAGUAAUGGACUUUUUUUGUAGAUCGCGUUCCUUCAGAAACAGUGAAUGAUGGAUGGGUGAGUAGAAAAUGUUAAAAUACACUUUGUGUUACUACAUGUUUUCAUUGUAAUGUAUAAUAGAUACACCAUACUAUAUUUAAAAUCUCCACAGGAAUUGCUGUUCUCUGCGGACCCGAGAGUAGAUGAGCUGCUGGCCAGUGAAAGAGGAUCAACUCUUCCACACGGGUUAAACUAGUGUUACUUUAUAGUGAGGAAAAAGUUACUUCAGUUUGUAUGUGCUUUCUGUGAAACAUGUUUGGUUCUAUAGCAUUUUAGCAGUAAGCAAUACUACAGAGGAUGGAAGGUUUUGUUACAGCAAUAUUAUGGAUUUAUUCAGUUUUUCUAAUUGUAUGGGAUAUUUUCAGUUAGAUGCUGCUGACUCCAGUUAAGACUAUGGAAAUGAAUUCUGCAUCCAGUGUGGAUUCUCUGUACUUAAAGGUGACUUUAUAUUUGACAGGGCAGAAACAGUAGCACACAGACUAGCAUGUGAUUAUCACUGUGCUUUGGGAACAAGGUUAUACUGACCAUAGACCACCUUACUGCAGUAGUUGAAAGGGAGGCUUUUCUCCCUUAACACAUAAUACAAGUGUUUCUGCCACACACACUUUUAGACACUGUGAAACAGGCAUGUAACUGUCAUUUUUCUGGUGUUUGUUCAUUUCAGCUUUUAAUAAAUGUUAAUUUUGCAUUAUUUGAAGGAGCA